rnacentral:rRNA from 1 species
GGAAGGUCCGGGCGUUAUCCGGAUUUAUUGGGUUUAAAGGGAGCGUAGGCUGGUUUUCAAGUCAGCUGUGAAAUACGGUGGCUCAACCAUCGGGCUGCAGUUGAAACUGGUUUUCUUGAGUUCGCACAGGGAUGCCGGAAUUCAUGGUGUAGCGGUGAAAUGCUCAGAUAUCAUGAAGAACUCCGAUCGCGAAGGCAGGCAUCCGGAGCGCGACUGACGCUGAGGCUCGAAAGUGCGGGUAUC